GGCCCUGCAGCUCUGGGAGAGGAGCCCCAGUCCGGGAUUCCAAGCUGCUCCCGUUCUCUGAUCAGACUGAGCACAGACGAUCCACCAUGGAGCUGGGGCUGAGCUGGGUGAUGCUGGCUGCUCUUCUACAAGGUGUCCAGGCUGAGGUGCAGCUGGUGGAGUCUGGGGGAGGCUUGGUGCAGCCUGGGGGGUCUCUGAGACUCUCCUGUGCAGCCUCUGGAUUCACCUUCAGUAGCUCUGCCAUGAGCUGGGUCCUACAGGCUCCAGGGAAGGGGCUGGAGUGGGUGUCCAGUAUUUAUAGUUACAGUAGUAACACAUACUAUGCAGACUCCGUGAAGGGUCGAUUCACCAUCUCCAGAGACAACGCCAAGAACACGCUGUAUCUGCAAAUGAACAGCCUGAAACCUGAGGACACGGUCGUGUAUUACUGAGCCACAGCUCACCUUCUCCUCCCCUCACCCCCUGCAGGCUGC